UACGUAGGGUGCGAGCGUUAAUCGGAAUUACUGGGCGUAAAGCGUGCGCAGGCGGUUCUCCAAGUCCGUUGUGAAAGCCCCGGGCUCAACCUGGGAAUGGCAGUGGAAUCUAGGGGACUGGAAUCUGGCAGAGGGGGGUGGAAUGCCGCGUGUAGCAGUGAAAUGCGUAGAGAUGCGGCGGAACACCGAUGGCGAAGGCAGCCCCCUGGGCUGAGAUUGACGCUCAGGCACGAAAGCGUGGGGAGCAAACAGG
rnacentral:rRNA from 1 species